GCCUGAGCUCUAGAACUGUAAAAGUGACUCACCCCUUCGGCGAUGGGCGGAGCUCAAUCUCGAAUGGACACUAGCACCACCACCAAAGAUUCUUUGAACUUCGUUGAGCAAUCGUCAGCAAAACAGUUAGUUGUCGACUUGUCGUUCUGGUAGCGUUUGGACGUUAGAGUUGUUGUUGAAAGUGUUGAAAUGGAAAGUUGCUGGUUGGGAAUAUUUGUCAGUGGAAGUCUCUCCUGUUUAAUGAAACAGCAAGGAUGCUUCGAUUUGAAAUCGAUUUUUCUUUCACGGACGGCUUUUACCCAAAGAUCUCGCAAAACUACAUCUGAAGGCAAUUCAUGUAAAAUAAUCCUCAUUUCCUUUGCCUCCUUCCCUCUACAAUUCCCGCAUGUAUUUACGAUGCACUUCACAACCAUUUUUUUCGACACGUUGAUUGUCAUAUACACAGUGUUAUCAAAAUCAAAUGAAAAAAGA